rnacentral:tRNA from 1 species
AUAUACAUAAUAAUACAUAAACAUAUCAGCCCGGCAAGCUGAAGGCGCGGGUUCGAUUCCCGCUGGAAACA